UCAAGCCUGGGAUCAGGUUAGCUUGUUGCUGUGCAAAAGAAGGGAAGCAGGUUUUAGUCACAAGUUCAAAAUUAGAAUUAGAAUUUAAUUGACGCUCAUCAUUUUUGUUCUUAAACAAUUUUCAGAAUAUGCUGAUUUGUUUUUAAAGGAGCAAAUCAGUUUAAACUGAUUUAAACUUGGAUUUUACGUCCUUCAGGCAUCCAAAAGUUAUGUCUCCUGCUGCAAGAGGACGCUGACUACUACAAUUUACAGUAAAUCUACUGCUAAUCAGAGUGAGAAGAAGAAGAAUGAAAAUGACUCCUAGUAAGUACAAAUCUUCAUAGAAUCUUUACAAGAAAAAGUUCAAUUUCACACUAGUUUGGAGCAGAGUUUUUUGUCCUGGGGAACCCAAAAGUUUUUGCGUUGCCUGCUGCAAGAAGACUGUUCACUGAAGUUUACAAUAAACAAGGGGAAGCUCCCCGAAUGGACAUCUCUCGGAAAAAGUGACAGCGCCUCCCGACAGUUCUUCAAGGUCUCAUUUUCAGCAUGCCUGUGGCCACUAGCUAACCAUAAGAUCACUGCUUUCUGUCUGUCUCCAGGGUGAACCCAGCGCCCUUCCAGAGCUCCUCCUUUCCCAAAGUCCAAACUGAACUGAAGUAGAAGAAACAGACUGAAGUCAAUGGUUACUUAAUGUUUGUUGAAUGUAACCAUGCUGUCUGCUGUUGGUUUGGAGCGGCCUGCCAGGAGAAAAAAAGAAAGCCUCUCAAUUUCGGACUUUAAAUAUCUGAGGGUGGCCAUGUUCAUUUGAAAAGCUAAUAUUUACUGCACCCACCUGCACGAGGUAAGAAACCGUAUCUGUGCACAUGCGUGCAAACUAAUACACACAUGCAUGCGGAGCAGUCAGAGGAAUUUUAACCUCUGAGAGGGCGGGCGGACAGCGGGGUGAGAAAGAGGGUAUUCACCCUUCGCCAGGAGUUUGCAGUGUUCCUAAAGAUGAACAUCUGAUCAUCAAAGUCAAAUGCUACGUUGUGUUAAAAAACUGUUUUUUCUAACCUUCUGAGAUCACUUGGUUGUAACCAAGUUUAAGGAACACAAGUACAAGAAUUAGUUAUUAAUUCUAUUAGUUGAUCAACAGAAUAUUAAUCAGUAACUAUUGUGAUAACUAAGUAAUUGCUGAUGUCAUUUUGCAGGCAAAAUGGGCAUGUGAUAGUGUCAGUUUCUCAAAUGUGAGAAUUUGUUGCUUUUCUUGGUUUUUAAAUUAUAAAGCAAACUGGAAUUGAAAGUUCAAAUUGGUGGUCAAACAAAACAAGUCACAUUUGCUGACGUUACGUAACUUCUCACUAUUUUCUAAUGUUUUACAGAUAAAACAAUUCAUCAAUUAAUUAAGAAAAUUAACAGCAGAUUGAUCGUUAUUUGCAGCCUUAAUAAGGACCAAUUCCCUCCCCAUGUGCACUUCUGGAGCAACAUUUUAUUUUUGUUUCUUUGAAUAUUUUCUUAUGACGUAAAACAGAGAAAAAAAGACUUUUGAAUAAUUUCCACAUCAGCUCCAACUGGACUCCACAAAACAUGAGUCACAGGGCUGCAUGUGGACAGAGCUGACUGAAUAAAGAGCAUGUGUCUGUCAGUACAGAGGCGGAGAAGUCUUUGAAAUGAAACUCUCUAUGGUGGAGGCAAAAGAAAAGUGGUGGGACAAGAUGUCAACAACUGGAGCAGCCUGGGUAAAAAUUCCACCACAAAUGAUAGACAUAAAAUUAACACAAAACAUCAACACAGUCUGAAAUAUAGGAUGCAUUUGAGAAAUACUGUGAGGUUUUGUGAUUUAUUACUGAUUAAAUCUAGAGAUAUGAAUACAAACUACCACAUAUUAUAUAUAUAUUAUAAUAGAAAUGUCCAGCAGCAUAAGAUGUAUUGUAUUUUUUACUAAAAUAAAAGUAUGCAACUAAAAGUCCUCUAUUCAAAACUUAUGAAGUAAAAGUGCAGAAUUAUUGGGAACAAAAUGUACUUUAAGUAUCAAAGUAAAAGUAUGCAAAAUGGCCCCAUUCAGAGUCUUAAUAUUAUAUAACUGAAAUAUUAUUAUUGGUGCAUACAUACACAUGUAAACAGCCUUUUAAUCUAAAACAAUUACAUAGUUUAUUAUAGCUGCAAUCUGAUCUAGCUCGUCUGUUGGAUCGGAUUUCUAGCCAUCGUUCCCCAUGCCUUGAUGACCCUGUCCACUUUUGAUAGAUACUGACCACUGCAGACCGGGAACACCCCACAAGAGCUGCAGUCGUCUAGCCAUCACAAUUUGACCCCUUGUCAAAAUCCUCACGCUGCCUAUUUUUCCUGCUUCUAACACAUCAACUUUGAGGACAAAAUGUUCUCUGCUGCCCGAUAUAACCCACCCAUUGACAGGUGCAAUGAUAACAUAUACAUAAAACAUGCAUGUAUGUAUAUAUAUAUACUUAGUUACUUUCCACCACAACUUAAGCCGUGUGAUGACACCUGAGCCAGUUCCAUUUAUGAAGAAGACCAUGGCCUAAAAGGUCCGGAAGGCAUUGAUAAUUCUGAUUUUGUUACAUAUAUGGUUCCCAAAUGUCAAGAAUUACUUUCCAUGCUCAAACAUGAGUGUUUUUAAAGGUUUUCUAUUUCAUAUAAUGUAAGAGAUUUGCUGUUAAAUGAAAUAGAGCAAUACAAGGUGUGUGUGCAGAUUAAUAACAUAUAAGUUACGUAUGCAGAUAAAAUACAGUAUAAAGUGUAGGAGAGAAGAAACUGAAAUUAAUUUUUCUAUCUAUGUUCCUAGACAACACACAUGUGACACUGACAAAUCUCUCACAUGUUCAGUCAGUAUGAGCAAGACAUAAUGGUUAUUUAGUUUGUCAUGAAGCUGAUGUACUUUGUCAUUUAAAAGCCCUCUGAAAAAUCAGAGUCACCCAUGUCAUUAAGAACAGUAACACAAUAAAGUCACAGUUUCUCUUUAGAGUUCCUUGAAUGGGCGAAAAAAAAAACCCUUUUUUUCUUUUUUUAAAAAGAAACUCACAGAAGUGAAUGAUUAAACAUUUCCUUCUCAGUUCAAGGAUUCUGUCUAAUGAGGCCUUUUAAAAGCCUUGUUUACCUUUCUCUCCCUGCUCUGUGCGGAUGCCCGUGCUGUCAGAGACGGCUCACAAGGAACGCUGCUCUGUGCCCAGCGGGAGGCUCUCUCCGGACAAAUAAAAAGACAUCCCAAAUAGCCUUUCAGUCCACCGGGCCUGUCUGGAGCAAACUGCCUCACACAACUCCCACAAACACAGUCACCUCUACUAUAAAACCUCACACUUAAUUUUUUUCUACAUGAAAAAUUCACCUGACUGAUAAAGUUUUUUUUUCCUCUCCUGUCAUUUCCCUCCCUGCUGUGUCCAUUUAGCUGUCAGCGCCUUCACCCACUGAUUCUUAGCAUAAACUGUAUGUACUGCCUUGCCAUUGUUUCACACCAGCACACGCACAUAUUUGCUGCUUAAUGCUGAAGAUUAUUGGUUCCAUUUUAUAAAAUAGUGAGAAAUAUUACUGGAUCAGUCUUAUGCCAAAAAAAACAGGAAUCUUUAUUUCUCUGCCUGACAAAACUCUUUGUUCCCGCCGAAAACCUGACGACACAAUAGACGCAGGAAGUUCAGAAACAGUCCAAUUAAAGACUUCAUAUUGCGCUGAAGGUAAUUGAUGACUUUCAAAAUGAAAGAUGAUCUGGCCUUCGUCACAGCCAUACCAUGCAGAUAAAAUAGGAAAUGAAAACCUCUGUGGUCAUAAAUCACACUGGAGGCGUGUGUGAUUAUGCACCUAUUACAUGAUCAUAUUACAAAUCCAGUGAUAUAUACUGUCUUAGCCACACUAAUGUGUCUGUGUCUUUUAUGUGUAGUACCCAGACAUUUCAGUGCUGAGUGCAGCAUAAUGUGAUCAUCAGAUAAUCGGCUACAUUUACAGCUACAUGUGCAUGUAUGUGAGCUCCUGUUUCUCUCACAUCAUCAGUAUUGUAAAGACUGUAAAGCUCUAAGCUGACAAAUACGUCAGCACUGCUCUUAUUACUUUACAUUUAUUACCGCUGAUAAGCGGCCUAAUUUAUGCCCAGUCUAGAAGUGAAACAGCACCGUAUUAUAUGGGUCAGUUUGGGUGGGUUGGUUGAAUAGUCUGGUGGUCCUUACACACCAACCACAGAUUCAUCUAAUCUGAAUUAACCCAAUUUCUAGCUUUGACCCUUAAGCUCUUAAGCGCCUAAAGGUCCUGAAAUCUCAGAGAGGAAGCAACAAGUCAACAAUAUCCAAGAGACCCUACUGUGUGGAAGAUGUCCCUCUGCUCCUCUUUUCAAACUGUGGCGGUGCUCCCACUGUGUCCCACUCUCUGUUGCUGGAUUAAGACGGUGCUCAGGCCAUUUCUGUGUAGUGCUCCUAAGCACUACUCUAAGGCCCAUCCAAUUGUUGUGGAGCAGAGAUAACAGGAUUUGUAUGAGAGAAGUGUCUAUGCAUUGUUAUUGUCCUUCAGCCACAAAGAUUUGUUACCAUUUGUCCUCCAGAAGGACAAACAAACCCUGAAGCAGUUCUUCAGCUCACAUUUUACCAUAAACUGUAUGUAAAGGCAAGUUACAUAUUUCCAAUAAUUUCCUAUAACGUUCCCAGAAAGACCUGCAUCUUUAUCAUGGAGGAGAAAUAAAGGCAGUGUUCAAUAUCUGAUUAGUUGACUUUUGAAUGAAUUAAAUGAAUUGCAAGCAUAACAUAUAUAAUUUCUUACUCAGUGCAGUCAAAGCCGGUCUGUGAAAUGUGUCCAGGCUAGCAAACACUUCAACACAAAGCAACAUUUCCAAUAAUAAAUGGAUAAUGAAUGGACAUUUACUUGGGUUUCAUUCGAGAUCUUCUUUCAAGGACAUCCCUAUUCUCCCUCUAAUUAAUACUGUUGAGGGCAGAUGCUUCAGAUGGGCAAUGAGAGUGAGAGCGAAACAAAGGAACAAGGUUAUGUGCCGUAAAUCCAAAAGGAUGAACUGAAAGACACUCUGUAGAGAACGGCAUGAUAAUUCUUCAC